rnacentral:rRNA from 1 species
UACAGAGGGGGCAAGCGUUGUUCGGAAUUACUGGGCGUAAAGGGCGCGUAGGCGGCCUACUAAGUCAGACGUGAAAUCCCCCGGCUUAACCUGGGAACUGCGUCUGAUACUGGAAGGCUUGAGGGCGGGAGAGGGUGGUGGAAUUCCCGGUGUAGUGGUGAAAUGCGUAGAGAUCGGGAGGAACACCCGUGGCGAAGGCGGCCACCUGGGCCGACCCUGACGCUGAGGCGCGAAGGCGUGGGGAGCGAACGGG